UCCCCGUUACCGGGGCAGUCUGACUAGAAAAAUCCAACUAGUCAUAAGGGUUGCGCUCGUUGAAGGACUUAACCUAACAUCUCACGACACGAGCUGACGACGGCCAUGCAACACCUGUCACCGGGUUCCCGAAGGCACAAACUCCUUUCGGAGUCCUUCCCGGGAUGUCAAGCCUUGGUAAGGUUCUUGGCUUAGCAUCCAAUUAAACAACACGCUCCACCGCUUGUGCGGGCCCCCGUCUAUUCCUUUGAGUUUUAAUCUUGCGACCGUACUCCCCAGGCGGGAUGCUUAACGCGUUAGCUUCGCUACUGAAGCGGGUCGAUCGCCCAACAGCUAGCAUCCAUAGUUUACGGCGUGGACUAC
rnacentral:misc_RNA from 1 species